AUUAGUGGAGGGAUUUCAUGAUUGUGCUGAAAACAUUGUAUAUGUCCAUUUUUACCCCCGGGAUUCUCCGACUGAAGCAAUCUUUGCUCCCUUCGGUCACUAAUUACGCCAAUGCUACUUCUCCGAUUGACGGAUGGAAGAGGUCAGGCAAAAAAAAGCGUAAGGAGGUGGAAGCCGCAGUAGUGAUGAUUGAGGACAUUAUCUGUGACCAUCAAUAAAACUACUUCGUUAUUUUGAAUAUGGUGCGCAACAUGAUGGACAAUUCGGACAACAACUGGGAUUAUCAGACUCGUGUCACAUACAGCAUGACAACCAAAAUGCCAGCGCAAGUGACACAUAUGAAGUGGCUUACUAGGUUAACGGACGUGGAAUGCAUCAAUAACCUUCGGAUGGACUACAAUGCUUUUAGCCGUUUGUGUCGCAUACUCCAUGAUAGGCGUGGUUUAGUAGACCAAAGAACCGUCGCCGAUGGAUGAUAGCUGUGACGACCCAAGAUGGAAAUAGUUUCAGGUAAACAAAUCAUUAUCAAAUGAACAUUAAUCGUUGUGGUUGUGUUUAAUUUAUUUAUGUAACAUAGGGGUGCCUUGGUGGGUUGGAUGGGACAUACAUUAAUCGUUGGAUAGGAAAGGUGAAAUCGCAACGAACACACUGGUUGUGUGCGACAGGUUUCUUCAAUUUUUGUAUAUACUCCCUAGGAGGGAGGGAGGGAUCUGUAGUUGAUUCAAGGGUUCUUCGGGAUGUUGUAACUCGACCCAACGGUCUCAAAGUUCCCAAAGGCAUCCACCAGUGAUUGGGGUCCAUAGCAUGGCAUGUUUAUUGCUUUGUGAAAUGUCAUUUGUGAUCGUUAUUCCACCUUUUGCAAAUUAUCCUUUUAUGAAUUAGGUUUGUACAACUUGGUGACAACGGGUACGCUAAUAGUGAAGGUUUUCUAACACCUUUUGAAGGUGUUCGUUACCAUCUGAAGUAAUGGGGCCCUACCUUAGAGACCGAACUCACCCAAGGAACUGUACUACAUGCGACACACAAUGACUCAUAAUAUAAUCGAGCGUGUUUUUGUCAUUCUGAAGAUGCGGUGGGGUAUAUUGCAUAGUGCUAGUAUCUACUUGAUUGAGACGCAAACCCGUCUCAUUAUGUGUUGCUUUCUGCUGCAUAAUUAUGUAAGAGGGGAGAUGGGAGUGGCGAAGAUGGAGAGGGGGGGCGUUUAGGCACACAACUAGAACCACCUUCCAAAGUCCAGUUCGUGGACACAGUUGAAGCUUUACCCGGUUGGAAUCAAAAGCGUGUUGAUAAGGCGAACUACAUGUGGAACAAUCAUUAGGUGAUUUGUAUAAUGGUGUGGGAUGUUCGACGAUAUUUGCAUAACAGUGUGGGAUGUUCGACGUUAAACGCCUGGUUU